AUCCAGCUAACUAAUCCCAAAUAGGACGAAACGCGCGUCGUGCAU
rnacentral:hammerhead_ribozyme from 1 species